CGUUUACAGCAUGCCUGACAGAAAUAGAGAAUAGAGCAGCGUGCCCUGACUGCUCCACAAGAUGGUUAUUUAGCACAAGCAAGAUAACAUAUAUGGAAGCUCUAUAAAGCCCAUUUCAAAUGCAAGGGAACGCCAUGGGGUGACAAUGUAAUCUCGUGGCUGUGUGAAGCUCUGCACCAGUUGAUUACGGAGUUGGAGGAGCUCAGGUACUGAAAAUUGUGGGAGCACCACUGGUCACCUACAGGCCAAGGCAAUGUCAAGUUCAAAUAAUAGUGUACCCCUUGAUCAAACUUUAAUGAGAUGUAAAUGAGGCGUUUUAAUAAAGAAAUCUUUU
rnacentral:lncRNA from 1 species